AUUGCACGCUGGCGGCAGUCCUAACACAUGCACGUCGAACGAGUGGCUGACGGGUGAGUACUGUCUGGGAAAAUGCCUGAUGGAGGGGGAUAACUACUGGAAACGGUCGCUAAUACCGCAUACCAUCGGAUGUGCCCAGAUGGGAUUAGCUAGUAGGUGGGGUAAAUGCUAACCUAGGCGACGAUCCCUAGCUGGUCUUAUAGGAUGACCAGCCACACUGGAACUGAGACACGGUACAGACUCCUACGGGAGGUAGCAGUGGGGAAUAUUGCACAAUGGGCGCAAGCCUGAUGCAGCCAUGCCGCGUGUAUGAAGAAGGCCUUCGGGUUGUAAAGUACUUUCAGCGGGGAGGCGUUACCAGCAGAAGAAGCACCGGCUAACUCCGUGCCAGCAGCCGCGGUAAUUC
rnacentral:rRNA from 1 species